AUUGAACGCUGGCGGCAGGCCUAACACAUGCAAGUCGAACGAGUGGCGGACGGGUGAGUAAUGUCUGGGAAACUGCCUGAUGGAGGGGGAUAACUACUGGCAACGGUAGCUAAUACCGCAUACCAUCGGAUGUGCCCAGAUGGGAUUAGCUAGUAGGUGGGGUAACGGCUCAACUAGGCGACGAUCCCUAGCUGGUCUGAGCGGAUGACCGGACACACUGGUACUGAGACACGGUCCAGACUCCUACGGGAGGCAGCAGUGGGGAAUAUUGCACAAUGGGCGCAAGCCUGAUGCAGCCAUGCCGCGUGUAGGAAGAAGGCCUGCGGGUUGUAAAGUACUUUCAGCGGGGAGGCGUUACCCGCAGAAGAAGCACCGGCUAACUCCGUGCCAGCAGCCGCGGUAAUUC
rnacentral:rRNA from 1 species